CAUGGUUGUCGUCAGCUCGUGUCGUGAGAUGUUGGUUAAGUCCCGCACGAGCGCAACCCUCGCCUCUAGUUGCCAGCAUUCGGUUGGGCACUCUAGAGGGACUGCCGGCGACAAGUCGGAGGAAGUGGGGAUGACGUCAAAUCAUCAUGCCCCUUAUGACCUGGGCUACACACGUGCUACAAUGGGCGGUACAAAGGGCUGCGAACCCGCGAGGGGGAGCGAAUCCCAAAAAGCCGCUCUCAGUUCGGAUUGCAGGCUGCAACUCGCCUGCAUGAAGCCGGAAUCGCUAGUAAUCGCGGAUCAGCAUGCCGCGGUGAAUACGUUCCCGGGCCUU
rnacentral:rRNA from 1 species